rnacentral:rRNA from 1 species
GGACUACAGGGGUAUCUAAUCCUGUUUGCUCCCCACGCUUUCGCGCCUCAGCGUCAGUUACGGUCCAGAGAGCCGCCUUCGCCACCGGUGUUCUUCCCAAUAUCUACGAAUUUCACCUCUACACUGGGAAUUCCACUCUCCUCUCCCGUACUCAAGCCUCACAGUCCCAAGCGCAAUUCCCAGGUUAAGCCCGGGGCUUUCACGCCUGACUUGUUAGGCCGCCUACGCGCCCUUUACGCCCAGUAAUUCCGAACAACGCUCGCCCCCUUCGUAUUACCGCGGCGGCUGGCAC